GGGGGUGAUCUGGAUUCGACCGGAUAAUUCGAAGCGUUCGUUGCAUGCCGUGGUUGAUCAGUUGGCCACGUAAAAAGCUGAUCAAACUUUUAGUUGCAGAUGAAAAUCUCGCAAUGGCCGCCUAAGAAAAGGUAGCCCUGGCUGAGGAGGGUUGUCGGAGUCGUCCGAAUGCCAGUCACAAUUCCGAAUCGUUCGUCGCCAUGUCCAACACGCGAUGAACUAAACAAAGUUUUGGACUAGCCGCUUGCGAAGCCUGUUCGGCAGCGUCGCAAAACGCGAAAAGUUUCCUUCGAGGAAGCACAAACGCAGGACUAAGCAUGUAGACGCGGACGUGGACGUAUCGCGGGACGCGGGUUCAAUUCCCGCCGCCUCCAC
rnacentral:tmRNA from 1 species